rnacentral:tRNA from 1 species
GCCCGUGGACACCCGUGGUACGGAAACCCACAGGUCAGCCGACCAACGAGAGGUCAUGCGCCAGGCGCCUUCUAAGCGCUUGGCCGCAGGUUCGAGUCCUGCCGGGGGCG